rnacentral:lncRNA from 1 species
GGAUCUCGGCCAAUAGCCCAUACAUUGACAAGAACUUGAGCAUUUUUUGGCACUGCAUAGCCUAAUAUUUCUGACUCCAUUUCGGUCUUUCUAGGAACCAGAAAUGGGACUGGUGGGUGCAAUCUGAAGGUUUCUUUUACUACUGCUUGUAAAUAAGGAAGCUUUGAAAUGUCCGAUUCUUCAACUAUCAUGCCUUUGCCUAGCACUUCAUCCAGCUCACUUCGAGCUUUUGCCAUUGCUUUUGGGUUGUUCAAUAAUUCCGCCAUUGCCCACUCUACCGUGCUCGAAGUGGUGUCAGUUCCCGCAGAAAAUAGGUCCUGGCAUGGAGAAUAAUAAUAUGAGAACAAACAGUACAAUUAUAAUAAUUUUUGCUGAGUCCCACCACUAGGACCUCCAGUUAAGUUCUUCAUAUUGAUGUAAGCAAAUAGUUGCUUCCGGUUUUUCAAAAGAAUGAUACCCUCUAUGUAAAAAAUUUAGUGGACAAAUCAACUAUUUUUAACUAGAGCAUGUCAACCCAUCAAGCAAAUUCCACCACACCACGGGAUGGGAAAAAAGAAAAAAGAAAAAAUUACACCAAUUAUGAAGAAAUACUUCUCUUCCCAAACUCUUUUUCAAAGGACAUAAGUUUCCCCAAUUUGGAAAAAGCUACCUGCCAUAACUGGCGUAAGCAUUUGGAAUGCAGGUUAUUCUGCUUCCAUGCCUGCAGGAUAAUGAUGGCCCAAUUCUUGCUCCAAAACGGCUUUACAUCCCUUAGAUUUUAGAUCUUUCUUUUUUAAGUUUAAUUCUAAAUUGAACUUAAAAUUAAAUAAUAUUUAAUAAUAUUAAGUAUUAAAUAAUUUAUUUUUAUAAUAUUUUAUUUUUAUUAAAUAUUUAAAAAAAAUAAUAUAUUAUUUUUUUAUUUAAAAAAAUUAAAUAUUUUAUUCUUUUUCAUUCAACAAAAAAUUUAUAAUAAAUUUUAAAAAAAUAAACAAGUUAAACAUUGCUCCUAACAAAAAGUAAAAAAAAAAAAAAACACCUUGUCCACACUAUCUUUUUUGAAAAUUAGAAUGUCAUUUUACCCGGUCCAUUAGGAGAAGCAGAGGAGAGAAGCAAAUCACUUACCAGGCUUCAUCGUUUAAAAGGAAAGCACUCUAGUCAAGCUGAAACUGAAUAAAAAUCCAAGAUCACAAGAUACGUACCACAAGCAGAUGUUUGAUAUCGUUGCUACUCAACUCAUGGUCAUGUUGUUUGUUGAGAUUGAGGAGGGAAUCCAGUACAUCAUUGUUUGCCGAAGAAGCCUUUAAUUGCAACCGUUGAUCGAUGAUGCCAUCAAAAACCUUGACUAGUUUAUAAAAAUUGGCUGUCAUCUUUUUCUGUAUUCCUUGUGGAUCAAUGAAACUAAGCCCUGGAAAAAAGUCUGCAAGAUUAGGCUUUCCAGCUUCUUCCAUUAUACUCCACACUAGAUCCUUGAACUCUUGUGAAAAAUUGGAAUCAUAGUGAGCCAAAUCAACAGAGAAAAUGGUGUUUGAUAACAAAUUGAGGGCGGUUGUUGAGGCCGCUCUGCCAAUGUCGACUGCCCGGCUGCUGGUGCAACUUUCAUGAGCAUGAUCUAGGAGUUGUUGCACAAUUCUUCGGCGCAGGGCUCUGCAGGCGUCAAUACGAGGCAAGGAAAGCAUCUGCGUGCUGCAAAUCUUCCUGAGGUUGCGCCAAUGAGCGGAUGCCGGUAGAAAGACCACUGAAAAUUUGUGAUGGUUCACGGCUUGGACGGCAUUGAGGACAGCCCUGCUGGAGAAGGCUUGGUCAUUUUUGUUUAGCACUUGAGGAAAUGACUAUGGUGGUGGUGCUCCCUAGCUUGAGAGACAUUAGAGGGCCAUAAGUUUUGGAGAGAGUUGUGAGUGAUUGGUGCGGUUUAUCGCCAAGUUCAAGGAGGUUUCCGAUGAUGGGGAAAGGGCGGGGGCCUGGCUGAAGCCUGGCCAUGCCGAAUUUCCGCUUGCUGGAGCCAAGAGCACUAAUUGGGGCGUUAAUGCAUGACCAGAGAAAAGAAAGUAGAAGAAGCAGUAUGCUAUAAUUCAUGGCUUUUUACUUUGUCAAACUUGUCUACCUUCUUUGUCUAUAUAUACUACCAGAGGUUGCAUCUCAACAUUGAUUACAUAAUAGUUUUUCAAGUUCACGGGAGUGCAUACAAUGUUGAAGUUGAAAAAGAAAGAGUUGAGUAGGUCAGAUUGGUGGGACAGUGCAUUUAAGAGGGGGGGUACGUCCACCUGAUCGCCUACAGCUAGCAUUCAACUUGAGUAGAAAGGUUCAUGGAAUAGGGCUAAUUUUAACCUGAGGCUUAUAUAUACUAGUUCAAAUAUAGACUAGAGAAAUUAAGUGAAAACUAAACAAACCCGAAAACACUAACAAUCGGAAAAAGGAAAAUAAAGUUUAGACACUUAUCGAAAUAAGGGUAACUGAGGUUUCAUAGAGUAUUGUCCUUAAAGUCGAUUUGCUCUUCCCAAAAAUUAAUCUCAAUGAUACAAAGACUAGCAUCCGAUCUUUAGGAUUCAAUAGCCAAAACUUCAUCUAAGGUGUACUCCUUGAAUGAGGUACACCACAACUCAAGUAGUUGGGAAUGCUUUUGAGAUUUUGAAGUUCCUUUAAAAAAAUAUACGAGACAAGACUGACUACAGGAAAUCUAUAAUAGUAGAUACACGAGAUGAUGCGCGUUAAGGAUUUUCGAAUGGGCUACUUGAUAUCACAAUGGAUGAGCUUAACUUUGAUGGGCGCACGAGACUCCCUGUUCCCCCUUCACGAGCCAAAGAUGAAGUAAAAGUAGUAAAAAAUAUAAAGCACAUUAAGUGUUCAAUUCCUUUUUGAUGUAAGAUUGUUUACUUAAUGCUUAUGCACUCUAAUACACAUACUCUUCCAUCAAAAUAUACUCAAAUUAUCAUUAGUCUAAAAAUUGAUUCAAUACUUCUAUUAAUUUGAGACAAGUGGAAAGUGAAUGAAAUUAAUAAAUGGACAAAAUACAAAAGAUAUUUAAAGAUACUUUAAAGUAAAAAUAACCAAUUAUAUAUAUAAUCACAUAAGGGGAGAUAAAUGAAACUAAUCUUGUAAGUAUAUUGAAUGUAAAGAAAAGUACAAAAUAUUUAUCUUUGGAAAAAUACAGGACAUGAAUGGAUGCAUGGUCCGUUGACUUCUUUUUUUCUCAUCUCCUCCCUCUAUCCUUUAUGAUAUUUUCUUUGUGAUAUUUAGAAAAGGGGUAGGAAAGGGAUUUCGAGCAUCAACAAGUUACGAGAAAUCUAAUCACCUUCUUGUUCUUUUGUCCCUCCUCUGUACACUAAGGUGGGCGUUUGUAUCUUUUAUAUACGACAACACCUUCAUUAUUUGAAAAAGGUGUUAGAAAAGGAUCUCAACCUUCAUGCAACAAGUUGUGACUUGUGAGAAAUCUAAUCAUCCUCCUUUCCUUUUGUUGUUACUCUAUGUAAUAAGGUGGGUACCCCUUUUGAUUAGGGUGUAAGAGAGCGACUCCAAGACUCUCCAACCAUCACCAAGUUGUGAGACAUCCAACCAUUUAUUUAAUGUCAACCUUCAUGCACCAAGUUGUGACUUGUGAGAAAUCUAAUCAUCUUCCUUUCCUUUUGUCGUUACUCUAUGUAGAAAGGCGGGGACCCCUUUUGAUUAGGGUGUAAGAGAGGGACUCCAACCAUCACCAAGUUGUGAGAUAUCUAAUCAACCAUUUAUUUAAUGUCCUUCAAGAUAUUUUUGAAAGAGUUAGAAAAAGUAUAUCAAGAUUUUUUUAGAGUUAAAAAAGUGGAUAAGGGUAUGAUGUUGAUAUUGUGAUAUCCCACUUUAAACCACUUCUAUAUAAUUAAGAGAAAUCAAUACUUAUAUAAUUUUUAAACAUUUUUCUCUAUUCGAUGUGAGAUAUUAUAAACACCCUCUUCAUAUAAAUACAACAUUCUUAUUAUAUUUCAUGAGAUUAUAAGACCAAACAAACACCCUUCAUUAGGUCAAACAAACUAUAUAUCGUGAUUGAGAAUCGACGCUAAUACAAUUUGUUAUAACUCGUACUUAAUUGUAUAAAUAUUGUCCUUUUUGUUUUUAAAACGGAUAAUAUCUAUACGAUUAAAAUCAGAUCAUUACAAAUAUAAUUAAUAAUAUAUAUGUCUAAUAAUUUUUUUAUAUAACAUUUUUUUAAUAUAUAUGAUGUUAAUAUAAUUCACAAUAUAUAUAUAUAUAUAUAUAUAUAUAUAUAUAUAUAUAUAUAUAUAUAUAUAUAUAUAUAUAUAUAUAUAUAUAUAUAUACAAUCGUUUUUCUAUUAAUUAACGUUCAUAAUAUAUUUUUUAAAGAGUUAGAAAAAGUGUGCACUAGACGGAGAUGUGGAUAUACAAUUCACAAUAAACAAAUGUUGUUAAUUAAAUCCAAACUUCUCGCUCAUAUCCAUGUCACUUCUGGUUUCAUCCAAUGUUCAAGCUACCGGUCGAAGGAGUGAAAAAGUGAAGCCGACAUGAAGUGACCAUCCCAUGAGCUAGUAGCAAUCCAAGACAAAUUCUUCUUCCAGCACCAAAGGAAAUGAACUGGAAAUUCUCACGCUCUAAAAACCAUAGCUUUCAGGCACAAAUUAACUGGGGUUGGACCACACAGUGAAAAGCACUUGUGCAUUCUUUGGCAUAUCAUGGCCUAACAUGUCUUUAUUCAUUAAUGAAAAGAACAACUCCACUUUAUCGAGAGUAGGGGUCUCCAACGGGCGGGCCGGGCCGGGCCGUAAAUAGGAGGCCCGCGGCCCGCCCUAUGAGCCAGCUGGCUAGCUGGCUGGCAGGCGGGCCGGGCCGGCGAGCUUUUUGAAAUAAGCCAAAAUGGCUUUCAAAAAAGCCAAGGGAAGGGAGAGGGGAGGAUUCGAACCCCUCCUCUCAUGUUUAAACUUCAAGGUUCUAACCAGCUGAACUACAUUCUUUUUAUGUUUAUUAAUUGAGUUAGUUAUAUAUAUAUAUAUAUAUAAAAAUAAAGUAUAUUAUUUUUUAAAAAAAAAUUAAAGGCUCCAACGGUCAUGUGACCGUUGGAGCCUAGCUCUAGCCCAUGUGACCGUUGGAGCUAAGCCUCCAACGGUCACAUGACCAAUUAUUAUUAUUAUUAUUAUUAUUAUUAUUAUUUAACCUUCCUAUAAAUACAUUUUCUUCCUUUUCAUUUUUUCAUCAAAUUCUCUCUAUUUCUCUCUCUAUUUCUCUCACAUUCUACAAUAUUUCAAAUUCUUUUAUUUUUCCCUCAGAUUAUACAAUAUUGUUGGUGGUGCAAAACAAGCAUUGGUGGCUCCAAGAGUUCAAAUUUGCUAAGAAUUUCUGCAUUGGUUCUCUAAUUGAGUAACAUACUUCACCCCUACUACUUUAUUUUUUUGUUACAUUUUUUUUAUAUUUAUUACUUUAUUAUUUUUGGCAUAAUAUUUUAUCAAUAAUUAUAAUAUGACAAGUGCUUCUUCAUCUAGUCCAUGUGAUGAAAUAUCAUCAAACAAAAAAUUUACUUUAAAUAUAUAGAAUUUUUUUGAUAGAAUAGAAAUAAUUUUAGAAAAUAAUAAAAAAGAAAUAAAAGCAAAAUGUAAAAUUUGUAAUAAAUUUCUUACUGGUGGCUCAAAUGCAGGCACAAGUCAUUUAAAAAGACAUCAUGAAAAUUGUAAAACUAAAAAUAAUGUAGAUAUUAGAAAUUAUAUGCAAUUAGGUAAAAAUGAAAGUGGAAAUUUAAAAACAUUUUCUUAUGAUGAAUCUAACUGUCGUGAAGAAAUGAUUGAUUAUAUAAUAAGAGUAGAACAACCUUUCAACAUGAUGGAAACUCAUGAUUUUACAAGAACAAUUUAACGAGGUAUUAAUCCUCAAUUUAAAGGUUGGUCUGGAAAUACAGUUAAAAGAGAUAUUAUGAAAAAAAUUUAUACACAAAAAGAAAAUUUAAAAUUUUAUACACAAAAAGAAAUUUUAAAAUUUUUUUUUUGCAAAUUUUGAAGGAAAUAUUUGUCUAACAUCUGAUAUUUGGACAUCUUUAACUCACACUGGUUUUUUUAUGUAUAACUGCUCACUACAUUGAUGAUGAAUGUAAAUUAAAUAAAAGAAUAAUUUCAUUUAAAUUAAUAAAUGCUCCACAUAGUGGUAAAAAUAUAGCAUCUUUAAUAAAUGAUGAAAUUAUAGAUUUAGACAUUCGUGAUAAAAUAUUGACAAUAACAUUAGAUAAUGCUGCUAAUAAUGAUGCAGCAAUACAUAGACUAAAACGAUAUUGGCAAGUAAAAGAAGAUCAUGCUAAAAUAUUUCAUGUGCGUUGUUGUGCACAUAUUUUAAAUUUAAUUGUAAAGGAUGGAUUAAAAAAUGUUGNNNNNNNNNNNNNNNNNNNNNNNNNNNNNNNNNNNNNNNNNNNNNNNNNNNNNNNNNNNNNNNNNNNNNNNNNNNNNNNNNNNNNNNNNNNNNNNNNNNNAAUUAGAGGCAUUGCAUAUAGUAUUAAUAGUUCUCAAGCAAAACAUGAAUUAUUUUUUGAUUGUUGCAAAAUGUUAAAUAUGAAAAGAAAAAAUAUAAAUUUGAUAUGGCCAUUAGAUGGAAUUCCACAUAUAAACUUUUACAAAAUAUUACAAAAUAUAGAAAAGUAGUCGAAUUAUAUGAAAUACAAUUAAUUAACAAUGAUUGUGAAGCAUAUAUUUAUGCAUUAAAUAAUUAUGAUUGGCAUAUUGCGGAUCUUUUAAGAGAUCUUUUUGAAAUUUUUGAUACUUCAACAAACAUUUUUUGUGGUGUAUAUGAUUACUACCAAAAAGUGCUAUUUUGUAGACCUAAUUAUAAUGGUUUUAAGCACCUUUGAGUAAUAAUCAUAUUCAUUUAACCCAAUUAAUUCAUUAAGGUCCUUAGUAAUUGGUUUUAACCAUUUUGUGGCAAGUUUACAUGUUUUUAUCAGCUUAUGAAUCAAUUCAAGCAUGCCAAAUGAUGGAGGAGCUACUUGGACAAGUUAUGACAAAAAUUUUGGAAGCUCAAAUUCAUGAAGAACCAAGCUUUGGAGCCUGAUAGUCCUUUGCCUUAGUCGUUCAAAGUAUGCAAGGAAAGAGCACUGGAGAAAGGAAAAACAGAGUGAAGAAAAUAGAGGACAGCAGCUGCAGUCUUCUUGCGCACUUUUGGAGCACUUCCCGAAGUCCAUUUUCUACAUUAUAUAUACCAUUUCAAAGCUCAGGAAGUCAAGAAUCCAAUACUUUAAGCGGUGUGCGAUUCGGAGUUGAAACGAAGAAGUUACAGCCACUGCAAGUCAAUCACUCUAAAGUGUUGCGAAAUCACCCUUUUGUUGCGAAGUGAUUUCGCAGCCUUUUUGUACAGUGUUGUGGAUUUCCUCCUGAAGUUACUCGAUAUAUGCCGCAAGCUGGGAGUUGAGAACCUCAAGGUGGAAGCCAACUUCGCAGCCCUGCGAAGAUAGCAUGUUGUUGUGAAGUGAUUUCGCAACCCUUUUGUGCAUCUGCGAAAUCUCGCAGACACCAUUUUCACCUACGAAAUGGUCCUUAAUGCUUCCCGAUAUUUGCCACCGACACUUUUAAAUAUUUUUCUUCAGAUAUUUUUGUAUAAAUUUCCAUUCUUCUCCUUGUAAUCCACCAACCAUAAGAUUUCUUAGUUGGGAAGGUUGGAAAAACAUCUCUAUAUAUAUUCCCUUGCAUCCACUGUAAAAUCAUCAUGUAAUAUAGAUAGAUAUAUCAUAUAUAGAAUCAACGAACAGAGCACUUGCUCUGUUUUUCAUAUAUAUUCUUGUUUUCUCGUUAGUUUUCUUUCUAGCCAACCAAACUUUGAGGAUUUUUCCUAAGAGGAUGAGAGGCUAAGCUUUUUGUCUCUUGGAGUAAGGAAAGCCGGGUAAGUUUCCAAAUGCAUAAUUUGGAAGUUUUGUUGUUUUAGUUUUUAAUGAAGAGAAAGUGUGACCCGUUAAUGGUUUUUAUCUUUUUAGUUAACUUAAAACACCUUAGAGUCACCUGGGCCAACACUUGGUAAGGCAAGUGAUUUCCAACCAUGGAAAUGCACUAGUUUACCCCUUGCGAGCCUUUGGGAGGUGGUUUGAAGGUAGGAUUUUCUAGAAUAGCCAACACUUGGUAAGCUUUUGGACUCCAAGGAGACAUCCAUUAGUUAUCUCUUGCGAGCUUUUGACGGGUAAUCCAAGGUUAAAGAUCACCUUGAAUGGCAAAUGCUAGGUGAGAGGCAUGAACCAUUGCAAGUUGUAUCAGUGAGAGGGAUUUAGUGUCUGAACCCAUUAAUGGGAAGCAUCUGUACAACACCGGUUAGAGAAUUAACUAUAUGUUAAUUCUCUAAUGCGAGGAAAAGAAACAAAUGACCGGAACUCUCCUUUUUGUAUGAGGAAUCUGAGCCUAGUGAUCUGAAACUCCAAGAAACACUUUUCUUUGUAAGUAAAAUCAGUUACUAUUUGUGGUUAGUUUAAAACCAAACCUUUUCCAACUCAUCUUUAUGUUUUCUUUUAAAGCUAACCUUGAAAUGAAAAUGCACUAAUUCAGCUUUGAAUUACUAUCAUUUGCAAAGUGAAAACCCAUCCCAGUGAAUGAUCCUAGAGCCACUAUACUAUAGUAGCUUUGUCUUUGCUACCCUAGUAUAUGGUGUAAUAGGUUAUAAAUUUUGUUGAUUACUCCCUCAAUCAAGGAGCACCAGUUGGACACGAAUCAGCUGAGACACCAAUUGGGCAUGAAUCAGUAUAUUAUCCAACUUCAAAUCGAGUUAUUAUACAAAUAACUAAUAUUUUUAUUGUACUUAAAAAAUAUUUAAGUUUUGAAAUAUUUAAUGAUACAAUAUUUGCAAUGAUAGAAAAAUUUAGAAAAUAUUGAGGAGAAAUACCUUUAAUUUUUUAUAUUGCUUUAAUUGUGGACCCUAGAUUGAAAUUUGAAGCUUUGGAUGAAUGGUUAACAAUUAUUUAUUUUAAUGACCAAAUAAAAAUUGAAGAAAUUAAAAAUGAAAUAAAUUCAUUAUUAUAUAAUUUAUAUAACUAUUGAUUANNNNNNNNNNNNNNNNNNNNCAGACACCAUUUUUCUCCUGCGAAAUGGUUCUUGAAGCCUCCCGAAGCUUGCUACCGACAUUGGGAGAUAUUUUCCAUUAGAUUUUUGUUGUCUAAAUCCCAAAAUACUCCUUGUAAACCACCAAUUACAUGAUUCCUUAGUUUUUAAGUUAGUAAAAAGACUAAAUAUCUUUGUAACAAUUAGUUUUAUAUUAUGUUGAUAUAUAUACCUCUCGGGAGCCUGUUCUCGGGGAGGAGUUCCUUCUGUAAACGUUUGGGUAAGCAAGUAAAGGUCUUUUUCUUUCUACUGCCUUACCUUCUCACUUUGUAUUUUCAUUUUAUUUCUAAGUUAUGAAUUCUCUGAGGAGUUUUCCCCAGAGAAUGAGUAACUAAACCUCUAAUUCCUUGGAGCUAAGGUUGCCGGGGAAGGUUCCAAAUGCAAGAAUGCAAAGCUCUGUGGUUUUAGCUAAAAAUGAAGAGGAAGUGAAAUCCUUCAAUGAUUUAUAUGUUUUUAGUUAACUUAAAACACCUUGGAGUCACCUGGGCCAACACUUGGUAAGGCAAGUGAUUUCCAACCAAGGAAAUGCACUAGUUUACCCCUUGCGAGCCUCUGGUAGGUGACCUCAGGGUAGGAUUUUCUAGAAUAGCCAACACUUGGUAAGCUUUUGGACUCCUAGGAGGCAUCCAUUAGUUAUCUCUUGCGAGCUUUUGACGGGUAAUCCAAGGUUAAAGAUCACCUUGAAUGGUUAAGGCUUAGUGAGAGGCUUAAACCAUUGCAAGUUGCAUUAGUGAGAGAAUUAAAGUGAAAUCUAAUUGAAGGAGUCUCUGUACAUCACCGGUUAGAGAAUUGACUAUAUGUUGAAUCUCUAAUGCAAGGAAAUGAACCAUCUGAUCGGAGCUAUGUCUUUUGCAUGAGGAACCACCCUAGUGAACCUAAAUCUCCAAGGAAUGCUUUUCUUCCUAAAUUAUUCCAAACUUCUGUUAAGUUAGUUAGUUUAAGUCUUAACCUUUACCAAUCAAAGUUUGUGUUUUAUUUCUUAAGCUAACCUUGAAAUGAAACAAGACCAAUUCACUUGGAAUUGGUAUCAUUGAUUGCUUGUUAGUCAUUCCCAGUGAACGACCCUAGAGCCACUAUACUAUAGUAGCUUUUUCUUUGCUACCCUAGUGUAUGGUGUUAUAGGUAAUAAAUUUUGUUGAUCACUUCCUCAAUCAAGGAGCACCAGCUGAACACAAAUCAGCUGAGACACCAAUUGGGCAUGAAUCAAAUGGCGCCGUUGCCCGGGAAUGAGUGUCAAGUUUAUAGUGAUACCAUUGUUGAGCACUUGUGAUUUUCAUCACAAGUUGGUAAAGUUUCUUUCACUUUACUAAUUUUCAUUCUUUCUUUAUUUAUUCAUAAUCUAAGUUUAUUUUUUUUAUUUAGUCUAGUUUAAUUUUUUUGUUGUAGCCCUGUUUUUCUUGUUGUCCUCUAUUUUUAUUUAAGUUGCAGGUAGAUACUAGUUGUGUAUGCCCAAGUGGAUACGAGACAUUGGAGGUAGGCUUGUUAAGUGUGAUACACCUCAGAGAGGAGAAUUGAAGUAAUCUUGAAUAUCAUGGAAGCUACACCUGAAGAUCAGCAUAGUCACCAAGGUCGUCAAGAUAAUCUCAAUGAAUUCCGAUCAAUGAGGGACCGUAUGCAUCCACCUCGUAUGAGUGCACCAUCAUGUAUAGUGCCCCCUACAGAGCAGCUAGUGAUCAAACCAUACCUUGUUCCACUUCUACCAACUUUCCAUGGGAUGGAAAGUGAGAAUCCGUAUGCACACAUCAAGGAAUUUGAAGAAGUUUGUAAUACAUUCCAAGAGGGAGGAGCUUCAAUUGAUUUGAUGAGGCUUAAGUUAUUUCCUUUUACUUUAAAGGAUAAGGCCAAAAUUUGGCUUAAUUCUUUAAGGCCAAGGAGUAUCCGCUCUUGGACUGAUUUACAAGCUGAAUUCCUCAAGAAAUUUUUUCCCACUCAUAGAACAAAUGGCUUGAAAAGGCAAAUUUCAAACUUCUCAGCUAAAGAGAAUGAGAAAUUCUAUGAGUGUUGGGAAAGAUACAUGGAAGCUAUAAAUGCUUGUCCUCACCAUGGCUUUGAUACUUGGCUAUUGGUGAGCUAUUUUUAUGAUGGUAUGUCCUCCUCAAUGAAGCAACUCCUGGAGACAAUGUGUGGAGGAGAUUUCAUGAGCAAAAAUCCAGAGGAAGCUAUGGAUUUCUUGAGCUAUGUAGCUGAUGUUUCAAGGGGAUGGGAUGAACCAACUAAAGGAGAAGUGGGAAAGAUGAAGUCUCAGUUGAAUGCUUACAAUGCAAAGGUUGGGAUGUAUAAUUUAAAAGAAGAUGAUGACAUGAAAGCAAAGUUGGUAGCUAUGACAAGAAGAUUGGAGGAGCUGGAGCUGAAAAGAAUACAUGAAGUGCAAGCUGUUGCUGAAGCACCAGUGCAAGUGAAGCUAUGUCCCAAUUGUCAAUCAUUUGAACAUUUGGUGGAGGAAUGCCCUGCAAUUUCAGCUGAAAGGGAAAUGUAUAGAGAUCAAGCAAAUGUUGUUGGACAAUUUAGGCCUAAUAACAAUGCGCCUUAUGGAAAUACCUACAACUCAAGUUGGAGGAAUCAUCCAAAUUUCUCAUGGAAGGCCAAAGCAACUCAAUACCAACAACCGGAUCCACCAUCUCAACAAUCUUCAAGUAUUGAACAAGCAAUAGCCAAUCUCAGCAAGGUAAUGAGAUAUUUUAUUGAAAAGCAAGAAGCCACUAAUGCUCGACUCGAUCAAAAAAUUGAUAGAGUGGAGAGUAUGUUGAAUAAAAGGAUGAAUGGAAUGCAAAAUGAUAUGAAUCAAAAGUUUGAUAACAUCCAAUAUUCAAUUUCAAGGCUUACAAAUUUGAAUACACUGCAAGAAAAGGGAAGAUUUCCUUCUCAACCUCACCAAAAUCCCAAAGGUGUCCAUGAAGUGGAAAGCCAUGAGGGAGAAUCAUCACAGGUGAAAGAUGUCAAGGCUUUGAUCACUCUAAGGAGUGGUAAGAAAAUUGAGCAGCCAACACCCAAGCCACUUGUUGAGAAAGAAGAAGAGAUAAAGAAAGGGAAGGAAAUGGAAGAUAAAGACAAUGAGAUCAGUGAAGAAAAGAAGGACUCUGAUUCAACAAUCAAUGCAAUUCCAGAGAAGGAGCUUCUGAAGGAAGAAAUGCUGAAGAAAUCAACUUCUCCACCUUUUCCUCAAGCAUUACAUGGGAAAAAGGGGAUUAGAAAUGCAGCGGAAAUCCUUGAAGUCUUGAGGCAAGUGAAAGUUAAUAUUCCACUGCUGGAUAUGAUCAAACAAGUUCCAACAUAUGCAAAAUUCCUUAAGGACUUGUGUACUAUCAAAAGAGGGUUGACUGUAAACAAGAAAGCCUUCUUGACUGAGCAAGUAAGUGCAAUCUUACAAUGUAAGUCCCCUUUGAAGUACAAAGACCCUGGAAGUCCUACCAUUUCAGUCAUGAUAGGAGGAAAGGUAGUGGAGAAAGCCUUGCUAGACUUGGGAGCAAGUGUGAAUUUGCUUCCAUACUCUGUCUACAAGCAAUUGGGACUUGGAGAGUUGAAGCCAACAACAAUCACUUUAUCUCUGGCAGAUAGAUCAGUGAAAAUUCCAAGAGGGGUAAUUGAGGAUGUAUUGGUUCAAGUAGAUAAUUUCUACUAUCCUGUAGAUUUUAUUGUUCUUGAUACAGAUCCUACUGUAAAGGAAGCUAAUUUAGUUCCUAUCAUCCUUGGAAGGCCAUUUCUUGCAACUUCAAAUGCAAUCAUCAACUGUAGAAAUGGGCUGAUGCAACUCACUUUUGGUAACAUGACACUGGAUCUCAAUAUUUUCUAUAUGUCUAAAAAGCAAAUCACUCCGGAAGAAGAAAAAGGUCCAGAAGAGUUAUGUAUUAUUGAUACUUUGGUGGAGGAGCACUGCAAUCAACAUAUGCAAGACAAGUCCAAUGAAAGUCUUGUGGAUAUUGAGGAAGGGUUUUCUGAAUCUCCUAUUGGGCUUGCUACUCUACAAAGUUGGAGAAAGAUAGAAGGAAUUCUACCUUUGUUCAAUGAAGAAGAGAAGACAGCUGUUGAAAAAGAAAUUCCAAAACUCAAUCUGAAGCCUUUACUUGUGGAGCUGAAAUAUACAUAUCUUGAAGCAAAUAAUCAAUGUCCUGUUGUGAUAUCUUCAUCUCUGACCAGUCAUCAAGAGAAUUGUUUAAUGGAAGUUCUCAAGAGGUGUAAGAAGGCAAUAGGAUGGCAAAUAUCUGAUUUGAAAGGCAUUAGUCCUUUAGUUUGUACUCAUCAUAUAUAUAUGGAGGAGGAAGCAAAGCCAAUUCGUCAAUUUCAAAGAAGGUUGAAUCCUCAUCUACAAGAGGUGGUGCGAGCUGAAGUGCUGAAGCUACUUCAAGCAGGAAUCAUUUACCUUAUAUCUGAUAGCCCUUGGGUGAGUCCUACUCAAGUGGUACCAAAGAAGUCAGGGAUCACAAUGAUUCAAAAUGAAAAAGGGGAAGAAAUUACUACACGCCUCACUUCAGGUUGGAGGGUGUGUAUUGAUUAUAGAAAGCUGAAUGCUAUCACCAGGAAGGAUCAUUUUCCAUUGCCAUUUAUUGAUCAAGUGCUGGAGAGAGUCUCUGGACAUCCAUUCUAUUGUUUCUUGGAUGGGUAUUCAGGGUAUUUUCAGAUUGAAAUUGAUUUGGCAAAUCAGGAAAAGACCACUUUUACAUGUCCAUUUGGAACAUUUGCUUAUAGAAGAAUGCCUUUUGGGUUAUGUAAUGCACCUGCUACAUUUCAAAGAUGUAUGUUGAGUAUUUUCAGUGAUAUGGUGGAGCGAAUUAUGGAGGUUUUCAUGGAUGACAUCACCGUAUAUGGAGGUACAUUUGAGGAAUGCUUGGUUAAUUUGGAAGCAGUUCUUCAUAGAUGCAUUGAAAAAGAUCUGGUGCUUAAUUGAGAAAAAUGUCAUUUUAUGGUACGUCAAGGAAUUGUCCUUGGCCAUAUCAUCUCUGAAAAAGGCAUUGAAGUUGAUAAAGCAAAGGUGGAGCUUAUUGCCAAAUUACCAUCUCCAACAACUAUGAAAGGAGUAAGGCAGUUCCUUGGCCAUGCAGGGUUCUAUAGGAGGUUUAUAAAAGGUUUUUCAAGUCUUUCAAAACCUCUUUGUGAGCUGUUAGCUAAGGAUGCUAAGUUUAUAUGGGAUGAAAGGUGUCAGAAUAGCUUUGAUCAACUGAAGAAAUUUUUAACAACAACUCCAAUAGUGAGAGCCCCUAACUGGCAAUUACCUUUUGAAUUGAUGUGUGAUGCCAGUGACUUUGCUAUAGGAGUUGUGCUUGGCCAAAGAGAAGAUGGGAAGCCCUAUGUGAUUUACUAUGCAAGUAAAACACUAAAUGAAGCUCAGAGGAACUACACAACUACAGAGAAAGAAUUGUUAGCUGUGGUAUUUGCUUUGGACAAAUUUCGAGCUUAUUUAGUGGGGUCUUUCAUCAUUGUCUUCACUGACCAUUCAGCCUUGAAGUAUUUAUUGACAAAGCAAGAUGCAAAAGCAAGGUUGAUUAGAUGGAUUCUUUUGUUACAAGAAUUCGAUCUUCAAAUCAAAGAUAAGAAAGGAGUGGAGAAUGUAGUAGCUGACCACUUGUCAAGGUUAGUUAUAGCACAUAAUUCCCAUCCCUUGCCUAUCAAUGAUGAUUUUCCUGAAGAAUCACUCAUGUUCCUAGUGAAAACUCCUUGGUAUGCUCAUAUUGCUAAUUAUUUAGUAACUGGUGAAAUUCCAAGUGAGUGGAAUGCACAGGACAGGAAACACUUCUUUGCCAAAAUUCAUGCUUAUUAUUGGGAAGAGCCCUUUCUCUUUAAGCAUUGUGCAGAUCAGAUUAUUAGGAAGUGUGUCCCUGAAGAUGAGCAGCAAGAGAUUCUAUCUCAUUGUCAUGAGAAUGCAUGUGGAGGCCAUUUUGCCUCUCUGAAAACAGCCAUGAAGGUAUUGCAAUCAGGGUUUACUUGGCCAUCUCUUUUUAAAGAUGCCCACAUCAUGUGUAGAAAUUGUGAUAGAUGCCAAAGGCUUGGAAAGCUAACAAAAAGAAAUCAAAUGCCUAUGAAUCCCAUUCUGAUAGUUGAGUUAUUUGAUGUUUGGGGCAUUGACUUCAUGAGACCUUUCCCAAUGUCUUUUGGUAAUUCUUACAUCUUGGUGGGGGUAGAUUAUGUUUCUAAAUGGGUUGAGGAAAUCCCCUGUAAACAAAAUGAUCAUAGGGUGGUUCUCAAGUUUCUUAAAGAGAACAUUUUCUCAAGAUUUGGGGUGCCCAAGGCCAUAAUCAGUGAUGGAGGUGCUCAUUUUUGCAACAAACCUUUUGAAGCUCUAUUAUCCAAGUAUGGAGUAAAGAAUAAGGUGGCUACACCUUAUCAUCCUCAGACUUCCGGGCAAGUUGAGCUAGCUAACAGGGAAAUAAAGAACAUCUUGAUGAAAGUGGUGAAUUCCAACAGAAAAGAUUGGUUUAUUAGGCUGCAUGAUUCACUAUGGGCAUAUAGAACAACUUAUAAGACUAUUCUUGGGAUGUCUCCCUAUCGUCUUGUCUAUGGCAAAGCAUGCCAUCUCCCUGUGGAAGUUGAAUACAAAGCUUGGUGGGCAAUAAAGAAGCUGAACAUGGACUUGAUCAAGGCAGGAAAAAAGAGAUUUCUAGACCUUAAUGAGAUGGAGGAAUUAAGAAAUAAUGCUUAUAUCAAUUCCAAAGUUGCAAAACAGAGGAUGAAGAAGUGGCAUGACCAACUCAUCUCCAACAAGGAAUUUCAGGAAGGGCAAAGAGUUUUGAUGUAUGACACAAGACUCCAUAUCUUUCCUGGGAAGCUCAAGUCGAGGUGGAUUGGCCCGUUCAUUAUUCACCGAGUAUGGUCCAAUGGAGUGGUGGAAUUAUUGAAUUCCAAUGGCAAGGAUAGCUUCAGAGUCAAUGGAUAUCGUCUCAAGCCAUUCAUGGAACCAUUCAAAUCAGAAAAGGAGGCAAUCAACCUCCUUGAGCCUCAAAAAGUCUAAGUGAAAAAGGGUUUGCUGGACGUGGUUUUACCACAGUCCAAAAUUUUUGUAAAUUUUGUAAAUUUUCAAGUUGUUUUCAUACUUUUGAUCUUAGUUUUUGAUCUUAAAUCAUGUUUUUAGGUGUGUUUUAAUUGUUUUAAAUGAUCCCAGGUGGAAGAAAUUUCAAGGAGAUUGAAAAAAAAAAAUUGGGUCGAAAUUAGAGCCGAAACAGAGCAUAAACAGGGGAAAAACAGAGCUCUGCGAAAUUUCGCAGGGUGAAGGAAACUUCUGCGAAAUGAGCAUUUUAUUGCCAAACCAUUCCGCAACACUGUAGAAGUCUCUGCGAGGGUAUUUCGCAGCUGCGAAAGUGAAUUUGGCACACGAGUGCCACUUCGCAAUACAGUGGCAUCCAUUUCGCAGCUGCAAAACGCAUUGCGAAACGCAUUGCGAAGUGGAAAAGCGUGAUUUCGCACCGAAAGUCCCAUUCCGCAGGGUAUUUCGCAAUUGCGAAAGUGGUUUUGGCACACGAGUGCCACUUCGCAGCACAGUAACAUCGAUUUCGCAGCUGCGAAAAUGGCAUUUUGCUGCGAAAUUGGCGUUUUGUUGCGAAACUUAAACUGACCCUUGGGCUUCCGUUUUUCCUAUUUAUACCUGUCAAAAGUGCUGCGAAAAGGGUUUCAAAAAUCAGAGCACCAUUCUCGCAGCCUCUUCGUCUUCUUCACCAAGCCACGCUGUCCGAACCUCUGGUCACCUUCUCCGUUCAGCAACGCCGGCAAAAGUUCGAUAGCCCAAAAUGGCACGAACACGAGGGGCUAAGUCUUCAUCUCCUUCGAACCGCAAAAGAAGUCUGCGAAAGGAGCCAAGUCCAGGUUCUGCUCCAGAGGCUUCGCCGUCAAGGCCAAUUCCACCUCCGGUCAAGCCCGUUCCACCAAAGCCGCCGGCAAGACGAUACCUUACAAGGUCAGGCGGUCGACCAUUGCAGAAGAAACCCAGGGUGGAGAGCUCAGAACCCAUCGAUUUGACUGAGCAAUCUCCAGAGCCAAUUCCAUCUCCGGUUCCCUCCUCGAGCCCCCUGCCAGUUCCAUCGCCGGUACCAUCUCCGGCACCCCAAGAAAAAUCUCAGGAGCCUCAAGCGCCGCUUCCCGAGCCCCAAAUUCAAGUUGAACCAGCUCUGGAAGAAGUAAUUAGGAGGCCAAUGCUACCUCAGCCCCCAAUCGAAGGAAACUUGGAUUGUCGAACUCGGGCAUUCCAUUCUGAGCUUUGCUUCGACUUAGCAGCAUUCAGAGUGAGGCCGGAGCUUGCCCAAUCAUUCCAGCUGCUGAGGAGGUACCAUAUGGAGCAACUGCUAGCUCCAAGGGACUUUUUCUAUCCUCGGAUAGCCACGGAUUUCUACCAAUCCAUGACAACCAAAGAGGUCAGAAAUCCAACCUUGAUUCAUUUCACAAUUGAUGGGAGACAUGGUAUUUUGGGAGCAAGACAUAUUGCUGAAGCCCUGCAAAUUCCUUUUGAGCCAACCCAAUUCGACAAUUUUAAAGCUUGGGCAAAUCCUACUGAGUUAGAGAUGGUUCGCACCCUUUCCAGAGGAGCUGCAAAUCAAUCACAUCUGCUGAGGGGGGAGCUUCCCCCAAUUAUGUUUUUGAUUGAUGCCUUUUUGUGGCAUAAUAUCUAUCCCCUGCAGCAUUGGACCCAAAGAAGGGGAGUUCUCUUGGAAGCUCUGUACAAGAUGUCAGAAGGAUUCUUCUUUGGGCCUCAUCAUCUUAUCAUGGCAGUCCUUCUCUACUUUGAGGAGAAGGUUCACAGAAAGAAGCUUCAGAGAGCAGAUUGCAUUCCCCUCCUCUUCCCACGGCUGCUAUGCCAAAUUUUGGAGCAUCUGGGAUACCCCUCUGAGCCUCAGCUGGAGAAGAAGCGAAUUUGCCGUGAGCCAUUCACUCUUGAUAAAUGGAAUAAUAUGACGGCCUACAAAGUUGAUCAGCCUGGGCAGCCUCAGCCAGCAGCAAGGAGAGCCUCCCGAAGACAUAUACCUGAGGGUAUAACAGUUGCUGCUCCUGCCAUUCCUAGAGCUCCACCAGCUACACCUGCUCCAUCACAGCCAUCCACAUCAGCUGAGCCGAGGAUGGCCAUCCCUAUAUCUGAAUAUCGAGAGCUGUGCCGUGCAUUGGAGACUCUUACAGCUUCCCAGAGCAAUCUUGCUCAGGAGAUGGCAGCCAUCAAAGCAUGCCAGGAACAGAUGUUAGCCUCUCAGGCUCAACAAGCUGCCAUCCUAAGGCAGCUCCAAGUCCAUUUCAAUCUACCACAAGUUGUAGAGCCCUCCAUUUCUACUCCUCCAGAGCCACACUCUCAGCCUACAGAGUCUCAUCCUCCAGAGCCCGAAGCCCUAGCUGAUCCACCUACUGAGGAGGCAGAUCCUUCUGCCUAGCACCAUCACCCCACUCAUCAGACAUUAUAUAUAUUUGCUGUUUAUGUUUUUAUGCAUGUUUGUUUUUUUUAGUUGAAAUGAAGUCCCAGUAUUUUGGUACUAUAUAUGGGAUUCCUUGUGUUACUUGUCCUUAGCAUUGUAAUCAAAUGAACUCAAAGUAAUACAAGUUGAAUAUUUCUUGUUAAAAAUUAGCAUUAAGUUAUUAUUAUUUCCUUUUCUUACAUAUUCUAUUCUUUUUGAAACAUGUGGUUUUCCCCAAUCAAUAUUCGAAUUUGAUAUCAGCAAGGAGGUACCACUUCCUCCCUUUUAUUACAGUCACUCAAAUCACAUUGAGGACAAUGCUCAGUUCGGUUGGGGGGUAUGAGGAAGGAAGUUUUCUAAAUCUUUUUGGUAUUGCAAUUAUAUUGGUUAAUUAGUUGUAGUUUUUACUUUUUACUCUUGUUACUCUAUUCUCCAUGAAUUUUGAGGAAAAAUUUUCAAAUUAAACCAAGAGAAAUUGAACUGUUGUUUUUCACUUGACUUAGAGUAUGGAUUAUGCUUACUAAAGUGGUUCAAUUGUUGAAACUUCUAUUGAAAUUGAAUUUAGUUCUUUCACUUUAAGCUAUCCACACACUAUGCACAUUAGUUUCCGAUUAUAAGAUGAAAAGCUAUUUCCCUCUUGACUUAGGAUAAUUUUGGAACUUGGUAUAUUUGACCUCAUUUGAUAAAAAUUGAAACACCCUGCAAAAGGCCAAUGAGCCUUUGAAAUAAAGAAAGUUGUUUGCUUGCCUUGAAACCUGAGCAAGGUCUGAGGGGUAUAUGGUGAAAAUCUUUAAAGCCUGGUGCCCUAAGCCUUAAUUGGUUGGGAGUCACCGACCUCAAUGCUCGUUACAAGGGUGAAUAGGUAGAGUUAGCAUAUGGUAGAUGCUUGGGUAUUAGAAAUUCAUUCUUAAAAGUCCGGGGAUAAAUCCGAGGAGUUAGUGGUUGAAAGAUCCUUAAAGCUUGGUGCCCUAAACCUUAAUUGGUUGGGAGUCAUCGAUGGACCCCCAUUACAUGGACAAGUCAGAAAGAGUACCCCAUAAAGCUACCUUGAAAAAAAAAAAAAAAAAAAGUGUUUUAUUUUCUUAUUGAUUUUGGUCAGUUUGCUAAAGUGUUGAAAAGAGAUAGGUUGGGGGGAGAAACUAGUUUAGCAUAUUAUUCUUGGAACCUAAGGAACCAAUACACAUAGAUUUUUGUGGAAGAUUAAAGUUUGAUUCUUAAAAAGUGGAAAUGGUUUUAAAACUUCAGUUUGCAUAAUGCACUCCCUUGAUUGACAGUGUUUAGCAUAGUUUGUUAUGACUCUUGUUGAGAUUUGGGUUUGUAUUUCUUUAAUGAUUCAUGUGAGAAUUAGAUCAUCAUGCCACUUGAGAAUUAUUUUCCUUCAGCAUGAUGUUGUAAAUUUUAGAUUAGUUUGUUAUUUAUUUUCAUUUUUCUCUCCUAUAUUGCUAAGGGACUAGCAAUAUGUCGGUUGGGGGGAGUGAUUACUACUCAAAAAGUGCUAUUUGAUAGCCUAUAAUUAAUCCUUUUAAACACUUUUGAGUAGUAGUUUAGGCCUUUUAACUCAAUUGGCAUGUUAAGGAUCCUUUAAAGCAAUUUUGAUCACUUUGUGUAAGUUUUGGUGUUUUUGUUAGUAUUUUGAUCACCAAAGCAAGUCAAGACUGAGGAAAGCUAUGAGGAAUCUUGGGCAAAGCUUAGAAGUCAUUUGCCAAGAGUGAAUCCGGAUUGCAAGGAGAAAAAGCAAAGAGAAUCUGCCAUGAAGCCUAUUCUUGAUGACAGUCGUAGCAGCCACUUUUGGAGCACUUUCUGAAGUUCAAAUGAUGCAUGCUAUAUACCAUUUCAAAGCUCAAGAAGUCAAAAAUCCAAUGCUUCAAACGGUGUGCAAUUCGGAGUUGAAACGAGGAAGUUGCAGCCAUUACAUGCCAAUCACUCCGAGCUGAAGGAAGCAUUUUGCAAAGUGUUGCGAAAUCACCCUUUUGUUGCGAAGUGAUUUCGCAGCAUUUUUGUACAGUAAGGUGUUUCUCCUUCUGACGAUGCACGAACCAUGCCGCGAGAAGGGAGCUGGGAACCUCAAGGUGGAAGCCAACUUCGCAGCCCUGUGAAGAUAGCUCGGUGUUGCGAAAUAAUUUCGCAGCCCUCUUGGGUGUCUGCGAAAUCUCACAGACACCAUUUUUCUCCUGCGAAAUGGUUCCUGAAGCCUCCCGAAGCUUGCUACCGACAUUGGGAGAUAUUUUCCAUUAGAUUUUUGUUGUCUAAAUCCCAAAAUACUCCUUGUAAACCACCAAUUACAUGAUUCCUUAGUUUUUAAGUUAGUAAAAAGACUAAAUAUCUUUGUAACAAUUAGUUUUAUAUUAUGUUGAUAUAUAUACCUCUCGGGAGCCUGUUCUCGGGGAGGAGUUCCUUCUGUAAACGUUUGGGUAAGCAAGUAAAGGUCUUUUUCUUUCUACUGCCUUACCUUCUCACUUUGUAUUUUCAUUUUAUUUCUAAGUUAUGAAUUCUCUGAGGAGUUUUCCCCAGAGAAUGAGUAACUAAACCUCUAAUUCCUUGGAGCUAAGGUUGCCGGGGAAGGUUCCAAAUGCAAGAAUGCAAAGCUCUGUGGUUUUAGCUAAUAAUGAAGAGGAAGUGAAAUCCUUCAAUGAUUUCUAUGUUUUUAGUUAACUUAAAACACCUUGGAGUCACCUGGGCCAACACUUGGUAAGGCAAGUGAUUUCCAACCAAGGAAAUGCACUAGUUUACCCCUUGCGAGCCUCUGGUAGGUGACCUCAGGGUAGGAUUUUCUAGAAUAGCCAACACUUGGUAAGCUUUUGGACUCCUAAGAGGCAUCCAUUAGUUAUCUCUUGCGAGCUUUUGACGGGUAAUCCAAGGUUAAAGAUCACCUUGAAUGGUUAAGGCUUAGUGAGAGGCUUAAACCAUUGCAAGUUGCAUCAGUGAGAGAAUUAAAGUGAAAUCUAAUUGAAGGAGUCUCUGUACAUCACCGGUUAGAGAAUUGACUAUAUGUUGAAUCUCUAAUGCGAGGAAAUGAACCAUCUGACCGGAGCUAUGUCUUUUGCAUGAGGAACCACCCUAGUGAACCUAAAUCUCCAAGGAAUGCUUUUCUUCCUAAAUUAUUCCAAACUUCUGUUAAGUUAGUUAGUUUAAGUCUUAACCUUUACCAAUCAAAGUUUGUGUUUUAUUUCUUAAGCUAACCUUGAAAUGAAACAAGACCAAUUCACUUGGAAUUGGUAUCAUUGAUUUCUUGUUAGUCAUUCCCAGUGAACGACCCUAAAGCCACUAUACUAUAGUAGCUUUUUCUUUGCUACCCUAGUGUAUGGUGUUAUAGGUAAUAAAUUUUGUUGAUCACUUCCUCAAUCAAGGAGCACCAGCUGAACACAAAUCAGCUGAGACACCAAUUGGGCAUGAAUCAACUAUUAUAAAGAAAAAUAUGGUAAUGAUAUUAAUACUAUUAAAUUACCACCUACAUCUACAAACUCCUCAUUUUUUUUUUAUAAAAGAGCUCUAGAAAUGUUGAAAAGUCGAAAAAAGACAACAAAUAGUUCUCCAAAUAAUACGUCUGAUUUAGAUAAAUAUCUUAAUACUGAUAUAAUUUCAUUUGAAGAUCAAGAAGAUUUUGAUAUUUUAAUAUGGUGGAAAUCACAUCAACACAAAUAUCAUGUGCUUUCUAUAAUUGCUCGUGAUGUACUAACAGUUCCUGUGCGUACAGUUGCAUCAGAAGCUGCUUUUAGUGUAGGUGGAAGAGUAGUUAGUAAAAAACGAUGCAACUUAGUGCCAGAUGUUAUUGAAGCAGGGAUAUGUGUGAAAGAUUGGGAAAUAGUAGAUAAAAGGAUGUAUGAUUCCAUUCGAGAAACAGAGAUACUUGCCGAUAUGGAAUCUUUAAAAUUAUCAAGAUCUUCAUGGAUGCAUGAUAGUUCGCCAUCACCGCCAGAAAAUAAUGACUAAAUGUAUAUUAUAUUUUUAUUUUUAUUUUUUGUGGUUGAAAAAUACAGAUGAUUGACAAAUAAAUAAGUGUCAACCUAGUUGGGAUGUAUUUAUUUUGUAGUGAUGUAAACUUUUCUCACAUUUUCAAAUGUAAUUAUACAUUCAAUGAAUAAAAUUUUGAAAUGAAUAUUUUUUUUAAUACUUUUUUUUUUUUGUAGUUUUUUUUUAAAGGGGCGGGCCUAAGGGCGGGCCGACCCUCCGAGCCUAAAUUUAGGCCCGCGGGCCGGCCCGCCCAUAAGCAGGCUCGGGCCGGGCUGGGCCUAAAGCGGGGCGCGGGCUUUUUGGAGACCCUUAAUCGAGAGUAUGAAAGUACAAGAGUGAGUGACUAUCAUGCAUGCCCUCGUAUUUUACUUUAUUAUAAGAAAUAAUAUUGUUUAACGAAUUUAGAGAGAAAUUGUUGAGUUUUGAAUGUAAGAAACAACUCAAUAAGAAAAAGUCUAUUUAAGUCUAAAACAUAUAUAGAAAAUCUUGUUCUUUUUUAUUUUUUUAUUACAUGAGACAUGAACAAUAAGUUGAUGUUAGAGAUUUUAUUAAUGUACAUUUAUCAUGUUAUAAUCUUGGGAAAAAAAUUCAAAAUUCAAAGAAAAAAUUGCUCAAAAAUUAAUUGACCCCUGUCCUAAUUCGACUUUCCAUGGUCAAAAUGGUCAUUUCUUAAAGAGAAACACAUUGCAUAUAUUUUGAAACUUAGUUUAAAUCACCAUAUCAUGCCAUGAAAGAGUUACAUAAUUAUUUUACUUUUUAAAAAAUCAAGUUGAAACCAAGAGUUACUCUACUCUUGUACCAUCAUUGAAUGAUUAUUUGUUUAUCCAUGGAUAAAAAGUACAACUCUCUUGACAAUUAUUAGGGUUACGAAGAGUAGUGUUUAUCCACACUUCUCUUCUAUUAUCUUCAUAACCCUAACAAAAUUUGUAUGAAAUUAAAGUGAUUUAUAUUAAAAUGGAGAUUAUCGGUCAGCUCUUAUGAGAUACCAUUUCCCCAAGUAAGUAUAAGAGUAUAACAGCCUGUUUGAUUUUUAGGACCUCUCACCAAGGACCAUGCCCUUGUUAAAGGACAAAAGUAUCACAAUAUGAUUCAUUUAUAAGGGUUGUACCUCAUUAAAGCAUAAGAGUAUCAUAACCAUUUCAUGUUUUUAAGGGCCCUCGCCCAAGGGGUAUUGUGGCCAACAUUGAAGCACAAGAAUGCAGCAUUGUCUGUACUCCCUUUUCUUAUAAUAAUGUCACAUGUUCCACAAAUUUCCAAACCUUCGUAGCCAAAAGGACAUACACGUUUUUAAACGUCUCAAGAGACCAUUCCCUGCACAAACCUUUAGUAUCAAUAGCGUGCUUGGAUUCAAGGACACAGACCACAGACCACAUAUAUCCAUGAUAUACCAUAAUGAAUUCUGGAACACAAGAGCAUCAACCCAUCACAUGGGAACAUCAAUAGUCAGUUGGGAACAUUAAUUCAAUGCAUAUCAACCAGCCUUAUCACAAUUCCAUGCAAUUCACAACAUCAAAAUACAUAGAUCCUCAUUGCCACAACAAAGCAUCUAAAAGUUAAGCUGGAAAAUACCUUUAACAUCUAUUGAAUUCAAACAAAGUUUAAUAAGAAACCAUCAAAAACCAAGUACUAGAAUCUAAACAGAUUAAUACUUGACCUUCAGAAUAGAAAUCACUCCAUCUUCGUGAAAAUCAUCAAAAUUUCAUAACCAAGGUAGCCAAUUGCCUGAACACGGAUACUGCAUGGUGUUCACCGUAAGUGUAGUUAUCAGCAAGUAAUUUAAUCCGGUGAGUAGGGCAAUUAAGAUUUGGGGCAACCACGGGUUAAGGAUUUGAGGUGAUAUAAUAGGAGUUUAGAAAUUAAAAUUUGGAAUGUAAUAGUGAUGGAGAAAAUUGGUGGUAUAAAGAUUUGUUUAUAAAUUAGGGAAAAUGAAAUAAAGAUCUAAUUUAUAAUAAAUAAAAAAGGGAAAAACACAAAGAGAUGGAAGGGAGAGAGGUACCUUUUGUUACUUUAUGGAUCUAAGGCAUAGCUUAUUGAAAAAUACAAAUGAACCCUCAUCAUGUGGUGUUUGACUAAUAUUUUCUAAUUCUAUGUAUUUAAUGUAUCACUAAGAAUUAAUUAAGUAAAAACAUAAAGACUAGAGCAUAGAGAUCUAAUAUGGAUUAAAACACAUAAGAAUUAAAGAGGAAAGAAAGCUUAAACAUGAUAUCCAUAGAGUUUAUAUUAAAGAGAUAUUCCCCUAAUUAGAGAAUUCAUCCAAGAAUUACCUAGCUCUUAGAACUCUUCUAUUGCUACAUUUCCAAGUUUAGGACAAAUGAUAGCAUCGAUUAUGUGUACUUUAGAAUGAUCAAAUAAUUUCAAAACAAGGUUAAUUAGGAAAAGAUGAUUGAAAACUACUCUUGGAAGUUUAAUUCCUAGUAGAAAACUAAUGCUUAUAUAGUGUUUUCCUUUUUCUUCAUCUUCUUGAAUUUCUUUUUGAAGAAGGAUACUCAAUUUUUACAAGACGAGAAAAUAAAAAAUUAAAAUCACUUUCCUCACCUUACACAUAUUGUAAUUUAGUACAUAUUUUUAAUUAAAAAAAAAAGAUAUCAUGACUAUAUAACACAUUAUCUAUAAUAAAUAUAUGAUAAACAAGAAUAAUUUUAAUUUUAAUUACUUGCAAAUAAGAUAUUAUCUCAGAAAGAACAAAAUAAUUAAAGUAAAAGAUGGGAAGAUGUAAGGACUCCAUACCACAAGCAGCCAUCUGUACGAUGGAAAGAGUGAUCUAGUCACCCUUGUCAUCAUUAGUCUUACCAUUCCAAAGCCGCCUGCAGUACGGAAGGACACCUCUCGUUCAACGCACAUGAAAUGUAGUGAAAGACAACGUCCUUGCAUGUGUACGAAAGAUCCAAAGGCGAGACCGUUACCUUGGAGGGGAGCGGUGUAGGGAAUUAAACUGAAUUCCCAACUUGUGAGAAACAAAAAUGAGAGAAAACACACGCCAAAGAAAAAAAACAAUCACACGCACAAGACAGUAUUUACGUGGUUCGACAAUUUUGUCUAUAUCCAUGGAGUUGCAGGGAUAUCACUAUUAUUAGGGAAGAAUACAGAGUACAACCACAGUGGUUACAAUAUUUUCUUUCUAUAUAUAACACGACAACCACACCACACUAAAAAACCCUAAUUACAAAAGGUGGUUCCACAAUGGGCUAAACGGGCCUAACAUGCCUGAGUAAAUCUCCCAUUAAAAAGCCAUACAAUAUUAUUCAGGUUGAGUUGUCAAACCGGAUCAAACAAAAUUAGGCUCCACAAAGCCCAACAAAUUUCCCACUUGGAGACUAGUUCAAUCACCAACAUCAAACCGCUAUCCUUCAAGAAACAAUCCCUCAUCCCUACAACUCAUCCUCCUGUCCUUAAGCUAGAAGACUAAUUGAAGCUGCACACAGCUUCAACUUCUCAAUAGUAACACCCUUAGUCAACAUGUUUGCGGGGUUCUUAGAUCCACAAAUCUUCUCAAGUAUUACCAGUUUAUCUUCAACAAGAUAACGGAUAAAGUGGUAUUUUGUUUGUAUAUGCUUCGACUUUGAAUGAAAAACCGAAUUUUUGGCAAGAAAAAUUGCACUUUGACUGUCACUGUGUAGAAUGCCUAUCUCCUGCUUCUUACCCAAUUCAUCUAAGAAACCAUGUAGCCAAAUCAUCUCUUUUCCAGCUUCAAUUGCUGCAACAUACUUAGCUUCUGUAGUAGACAAGUAACAAUCUUCUGUAAAUUUGAAGCCCAUGAUAUAGUUGUACCACCUAGAGUAAAAACAAACCCAGUAGUACUCUUUCUACUAUCAAUAUCACCAGCAAAAUCAACAUCUACAUAACCCUGCAGUUUCAAACUUGCACCUGUGAAGCAAAGACAUGUAUCUAAUGAACCCUUCAAAUAUCUUAGAAUCUACUUGACUGCCUCCCAAUAUCGCUUUCCAAGCCUACUCAUGAAUCUACUCACAACUCCCACUGCAUGUGCAAUGUCUGCCCUUGUACACACCAUAGCAUACAUCAAGCUGCCAAUAGCUGAGGCAUAGGGCACCUUGCUCAUAUGGUCCCUUUCUUCUUCUGUCUUCGGUGACUGUUCUUUGCUUAGUUUGAAAUGACUCCUCAAGGGUGUGCUCACUGGUUUAGCUUCAUUCAUGUUGAACCUGCUGAGAACUUUCUUCACAUACUCUAACUGUGAAAGCUUCAAUGUAUCAUUAGCUUUGUCUCUAAUGAUUCUCAUACUAAGGAUUUGCUUUGCAGCUCCCAAAUCCUUCACUGCAAAUUGUUUGGACAAUUGUUUCUUCAUAUUAUUAAUCUCUUCAAUGUCUGACCCUGUAAUAAGCAUAUCAUCCACAUACAACAGUAAUAUGAUGUAAGAAUUGUUAAAAGACUUAACAUAGCAACAGUGAUCAGCUUCACAUCUCUUGAACCCAAUUCUAUGCAUAAAAUUGUCAAACUUCUUAUACAAGCUUGUUAUGCAUAAAAUUGUCUAGGAGCUUGUUUAAGGCUAUACAAGCUUUUUCUCAGUUUGUAGACUAGAUUCUCUUGUCCUUGAACAAUGAACCUUUCUGAUUGAAUCAUGUAAAGGUCUUCUUCCAAGUCACCAUGAAGGAAUGCUGUCUUCACAUCUAACUGCUCAAAAUGUAAGUUUUUUGCAGCCACCAUUCCUAGUACAAGUCUGAUUGUUGACAUUUUCAUAACUGGAGAAAAUAUCUCUGUGUAGUCAAUGCCAUCCUUCUGCUGGAACCCUUUAACAACUAAUCUGGCCUUAUAACGUUUGCUACCAUCAUGCUCAUUCUUUAUUCUGUAUACCCACUUGUUGUGCAAAGCCUUCUUUCCUACUGGCAAUUCAGUCAGUUCCCAUGUUUGAUUCCCCAACAAGGAAUUCAUCUCAUCCUUCAUGGCUAACUCCCACUUGCUUGAAUUCUCAUCUUGCCACCAUCAGUCAAUAGGAGAUAAUUUAAAACAGGUGAAUAACGUUGCGGAGGUCUAAUGUUCCUAGAAGAUCUGCGAACUUCAACUACAGGUGUACUCAGAUCUACUUGUGAAUUUACAUUCUCCUUAUCUUCUUCACCCCCUUUUUGGACAGUACUUUCAGUCAAUUCAUCUAAGUUGACAAACUCAGAUUUCUUUUAAUCUAUCUCUAUAACAUCUGACACUACAGUUGACCUGUCCUUAUACAUAACAUGUUCAUUAAAUAUCACAUUUCUACUUCUGAUGAUUUUCCUGUUUUGUUUAUCCCAAAACCUGUAGCCAAAUUUCUCAUCACCAUAGCCAAUGAAAAAACAUAUUUUUGACUUUGCAUUAAGUUUACUAUGAGCAUCAGAAUCAAUAUGAACAUAAGAAACACAAAAAAAUACUUUUAAAUGUGAAAACUUCACCUCUUUACCGCUCCAAACCUCCUCAGGAAGUCUAAAAUCCAUGGGAACUGAUGGUCCUCGGUUUAUCAAGUAAGCUGCAGUGCUAACAGCAUCAACCCAAAAAGUUUUUGGUAGUCUCGCAUGCAACCUCAUACUUCUAGCACGCUCAUUGAGAGUUAUGUUCAUGCGCUCAACCACACCAUUCUGCUGUGGUGUCCUAGGAAUGGUCUUCUCCAUCCUAAUUCCCUAUGCAGCACAAUACUCACUGAACCCUCCAUCUAUGUACUCUCCUCCAUUAUCUGACCUCAAACAUUUUACUUUCAAACUUGUUUCUGUCUCAACCAUGACCUUCCACUUCUUAAAAGUUUCAAAUACAUCAGAUUUAUUUUUUAAAAAAUAAACCCAUACCUUUCUGCUUAAGUCAUCAAUAAAAGUGAUGUAGUACCUUGAACCACCAAGGGAUGCAAUCGGAGAAGGCCCCCACAAAUCAGUGUGUACUAGUUCCAACUUCGGUGUCUUGUCAGUUUUCAAGAAGCUCACUUUUUUUUGCUUUCCUAAGAUGCAACUUUCACACAUGUCAAAAUCAAUGGAUUUCAAUUCUGGUAGUUUUCCUUUUGACAACAGCAUCUUCAUCCCUUUCUCACUCAUGUGACCAAGUCUGCGGUGUCAUAGGCUUGUAUCAGUACUUGCAUUAGCAACUGCAAUUGUGUCUCUUGGACUUGAGGUCAUAUAUAGAGUAUCAGUCUUCUUUCCACAAGCCAAUAUCCUAGCUCUAUUUGUAACCUUCCAAGUACCACCAACAAAUAAUAUUGCAUGUCCUUCAUUAUCAAGUUGUCCAACAGAAAUCAGAUUCCUCCUCAGGUCAGGAAUAUGUCGAACCUUCUCCAGUAACCAAACAGACCCAUUGGCCAAUGAUAUCUGGACGUCUCCCAGACCCACAACAUCCAAGGUUGAACCAUCAGCCAAAUGCACCUUACCAAAAUCACCUGCAACAUAAUUCUGUAUGAUUUCUCGGUGUGGAGUGGUAUGAAACGAAGCUCCUGAAUCCAAAAACCAAUCAUCAAGUGGACUGUCUACUGCAAGAAGUAAUGCAUCAUGUACUUCUUCUGUUACAACAUUAGCAGAAUCAUCUUCAUUCUUUUUCUUAGGACUUUUGCAUUGCCUUUUAAAGUGACAUGUUUUCCCACAGUUCCAGCAUUGUACUUGUUGGCUUGAUCUAGAUUUACUUCUGUUCCUAUUAGAAUUUCUGGAUUUUGAUCUACACUGGUUUGAAUUUCUGUCAUUACCUCUGCCUUUUGUCUCAAGGUUUAGGGCAAAACCAGAUCCUGAGGUUUCGCCUGCAUCUCUUCGGCGAAUCUCCUCAGCCAUAAUUAAAUCUCGUAUAUCAUUGUACUUGAGCUUUUCCUUUCUUGUAGAAUUGCUUACUGCCAUCCUCAUUGCCUCACAACUGCUUGGCAAAGAAGCCAAGACGAUCAAAGCACGAAUCUCAUCAUCAAAAUCAAUUUCUACAUACGACAAUUGAUUUGUGAUUGUAUUAAAUUCAUUGAGAUGUUGUGCUACUGAUGCAUUCUCUACCAUCUUCAAAUUGAACAAUUUCUUCAUCAGAUGCACCUUAUUGUUUGCGGACGACUUUUCAUACAUACCAGACAAAGCCUUCAUCAGAUCUGUUGUGGUCUUCUCCUUUACAACAUUGUGUGCAACAAACCUAGACAGAGUUAACCUAAUAACUCCUAGAACCUGUCUGUCAAGAAGCGCCUCAGCCUUCAUACUCUCAUAUUUUGUCCCUAAAAGAGGCAGAUGCAAUUUCCUCCCAUAGAAAUAAUCUUCAAUCUGCAUCCUCCAAUACGCAAAGUCUGUGCCAUCAAACUUUUCUAUUCCAGAGGCCUUUCCUGCUUCCUCUGCCAUUGCUCCCACUCAAACCUAACCCUAGGCUCUGAUACCAGGUGUAGGGAAUUAAACUGAAUUCCCAACCUGUGAGAAACAAAAAUGAGAGAAAACAUACGCCAAAGAAAAAAAACAAUCACACGCACAAGACAGUAUUUACGUGGUUCGAAAAUUUUGCCUACAUCCAUGGAGUUGCAGGGAUAUCACUAUUAUCAAGGAAGAAUAUAGAGUACAACCACAGUGGUUACAAUAUUUUCUCUCUAUAUAUAACACGACAACCACACCACACUAAAAAACCCUAAUUACAAAAUGUGGUUCCACAAUGGGCUAAACGGGCCCAAUAGGCCUCAGUAAAUCUCCCAUUAAAAAGCCAUGCAAUAUUAUUCGGAUUGGGUCGUCAAACCGGAUCAAACAAAACUAGGCUCCACAAAGCCAAACAAGCGGAGUUGACAUCAUGCUUAUUCCAUUCUUCACUACAAUUCUUUUGUUGUAUCAUCUAGAAAAGUAUAAGGUAUUUGUUUUGGAAGGAGUUGAGACACGUAUGAAGGCAUGAUCCGCUACCUUUUUUUUUAUCUUUUUUUUUUUCCCUUGCCUCUCUCUUUAUCCUUUAUUAUAUUUGUAAAAGAUCCACAUAAAAAAGUGAUUUCAACCAUCACCAAAUUGUGAGAAAUCUGAUCAUCUUCGUUUUCUAUUGUCCAUCCUCUAUAUGGUAAAGUAAGUUGAUGUAAUUUAGGAAAACAAGGAAGGUGAAUUGAGUGAUUAAAAUUUUAAGUAGCAAUUAAAGUAAUUUAAUAAAUAAAAAAGGAAAAAAAAAUGUAAACUCAUUUUAUAGUUGUUCAAUAAAUAUGCUUACAUUCACUCUUCUCAAUCUCAUUUCCAAUUGAGUGUUCUACUAAUCAAAGUUUUAAACCUAACUUUCAAACUUGUACAAUUGGAUUCAAUGACUCUAUUGUGCUUUACAAACCCCUUUAAGUUCAAUGCCAACUUAAAGCUCUAAACACUUAACUUUUCACCAAUAAGGAAUGUUUAACAACUUUUUUGUUGAUCAAUAAAUGAGAUUUAUAUUAAAAAAGCCAAAAAGGGCAAAUCAAAGUACACACAUUGUAUACAACAACAACCAAAAAGAGCAAAAAAAAAAAAAAAAAAAAAAAAAUUCUCUCUCUCAAACCAACCCCAAUCAAUUAAUAAAAUUUACUAUGAAUAUUAAUCUUUCACCUAUAAACAGUUUGGUCCAAGUUAACAAGUUACACAAAUGAGAGUUCCACAUUAUAAAAAAAUCUUCUAUUUCUCUUUUUCCAAAUAGUCCAGAAUAGACAUAAAUGAGCUACCCUCCAAACUUUUUUCUGCUUUCUUCCAAUAAAGGAACCAUGCCAGCCUAGUAGAGUCUCUCUAACCGUGGAUUGCAUCACCCAAAAAACUCUAAAUAUAGAGAAUAAUAACUCCCACAACACCCUUACCUUGUCACAAUGUAAAAGGAUGUGGUCAAUAGACUCCUCAUGAAAUAGACAUAGGAAAUAACGAUUGGCCGAGGAAUGUUUAACAAAUCUCAGCUUGAAUUAAUAAUGGCUCAAUACAAUUGAAAACUGUGAUAAGAAUAAAUGAGUACACUAAAUGAUUUUUAAGUAAAAAAAAUAAAUACACUUGAGUUUGAGAACUUUGAAUAAUAGAAAAGAGUAGGUAAGUAAGUUAAUACAGUAUUCUCUUGUCAAUAAAUAGAUAGAAGCUCUUAAUUUAUAGAAAACCAAACUUCAACCAAUCAGACUUCAAUUUGACUGGUUGAGUAGUCGUUAGACAUUUAAUACAUUGUAGGUGAUUGUUAGUCAUUUUUAAGCUUUGACCAACUCUCGACCAGACCUUGACCAAUGCUUGACCAAGAAAGGCUAAACCUAUGCCAACAACACUAAGGUUCUAAAAGAGAGUAUAUUUUUAGGAGCCUUAAUCGAUCCUCAAUUGAAAACACCUAAUUGGUUGAACUGGUUCAAGGAAACCCUUAACUGACGAAUCCAAAAACUUCCCCUUUUCAGUCCAAAGUUUCCCCAUACUUCGCCAACUCAUUUACAAACCUUUAUAUGUCAAUUUGAAAGAAUUUUGCCUAAAGUUUUUUUUUUAUAUUAUUUAUUUAUUUAUUUAUUUAUUAAUUUUUAUGUAGAAAGAGUAUAGAUUCUAUUUUAAAUACUUAAAGCUCACUUUUAUGAAAAAGUUAAAUAUAAAUGAAUGCAUGAAAAUUAAUUUUAUCCUAAGUGCACUCAAAUGAUUUAUCUUACAAAUUUACAUUAGACUUAAUGAAUCUUUAGGCAUCCAAGUCUUCAUCAAAGUGAGCUUGAGUUUUUCUUUAAGAGAAAAUUUCGUAUUUUUCUUUAUUUUUUAUUUGUAUAUGUACAUGAUUUGGUUAACAAUGAAAUCAUUUCUCGUAUUUUGCUGCAUUACAAUUUGUCCCUAAAUUUUUAUUUAUUAUUUCUUUCCUCCAUCCUACCUCAAGUGAAACAAUACAAAAUAGUACUCAAAAGUUAUACCAACAUGAUACAUUGACAGUGAAGCAAAUAUUAUUUUUCUUUAUUAAUAACUGCAUUAUUUCAGGAACUUAAAUACAUAUACUUUUUUCAUAAUCUAAUAAUCAAUAUGAUAUUUUUAAAAAUAUAUACUUAUCCAAGUUGGUCCUUGGAUAAAGACAAAUACUAUGGCUUGAUGGGAACAGCCUGGAGAGGUUGGGCUUUCCCCAAUGUAAAUCCAAACUUCUCAGUCAUGUCCAUAUCUUCUGGUUUCAGACCAUCUUCAAGCUUCCAAUCAGAGGAGUGAAGAAGAGAAGCCAACAUCAAGUGGACUAUCCAAUUCACGGGUGAAAUCACUUUUUUGAAAUUAGCUAUUUAAAAUUCUACUUCCUGAUUCUAAUUUCUAGAAAAAGUUUGAGAAAAUUGUUCAUGGAAUAUAGAAAAUUAAUGUUACAACUUAUAUACUUGGUUUUCGAAAAAUAUUGAAGAAAAAAUUGUUAUUUUCUAUUUAGUUAAAAGAUAUACUUUAACCACAUUCAAGUUGGAAUAAACUUGUCAGAGUAUGUUUGAUUUCUAUAUAAUUUAAGGAAAAUAAAAUAUAAAAGGAAAAUAAAAUAAAAGAGAAAGUGAAAAAAAAAAAAAAAGAUUUAGACGAUCAAUAGAUUACUUCAAAUUUAUUUAUUUAAUUUUAUUUUUUAAAUAUAAAAAUAAAAUGAUUUGAAAAUGUAUAAGUUUUUAACUUUUUUUUUAAAACUUGAUUUUCUUUUAUAUAUUUCUUGAAAUAAUCAAGUAUAAGAAAAUUAUUUUGUUUAACUUUUUUUUCCGUCUUUAUAUUUUUUAGCAACCAAACAUAAGUUUAUAGAUUUAUAAAUGUAAACUCAAUUAACAAUUAUUAGAUCAUCCACGGAAUGCACCAAUAAUUAACAAUCCAUUAAUUGAAGGAAAAGAAGAAAUACAAUAAUAAAACUUUUUUUUGAAAAAAAAAAACUCACACUUGCAGUCUCACCAUAAAACAUAAAAUUAUUAAAAAAAAAAAAUAGGUACAAACUCCUUAUCCAUCAUAUAAAAUUAUCAUGUUUUUAUUUAUUUUCUAUUCAUGGGUAUAUACGUGAUUUGGUUAACAAUGAAAGUAUUUCUUGUAUUUUGCUGCAUCACAAUUUGUCCCUCAACUUUUACUUAUUUUUUUCUUCCCUCCAUCCUACCUCAAGUGAAACAAUACAAAAUAGUACUCAAAAGUUAUACCAACAUGAUACAUUGACAGUGAAGCAAAUAUUAUUUUUCUUUAUUAAUCACUGCAUUAUUUCAGGAACUUAAAUACAUAUACUUUUUUCAUAAUCUAAUAAUCAAUAUGAUAUUUUUAAAAAUAUAUACUUAUCCAAGUUGGUCCUUAGAUAAAGACAAAUACUAUGGUUUGAUGGGAACAGCCUGGAGAGGUUGGGCUUUCCUCAAUGUAAAUCCAAACUUCUCAGUCAUGUCCAUAUCUUCUGGUUUCAGACCAUCUUCAAGCUUCCAAUCAAAGGAGUGAAGAAGAGAAGCCAACAUCAAGUGGACCAUCCUAUGGCCUAAUAGCAAUCCAGGACAGAUUCUUCUUCCAGCACCGAAUGGAAUGAGCUGGAAAUCUCGACCCUUGACAUCAAUCUCGCACUCCAAAAACCUUUCAGGCACAAAUGAAUUAGGGUUGGACCAUAUCGUGGAGUCUCUGCCAAUAGCCCAUACAUUGACAAGUACAUGAGCAUUUUUUGGCACUGCAUAGCCUAAUAUUUCUGACUUCAUUUCGGUCUUUCUAGGAACCAGAAAUGGGACUGGUGGGUGCAACCUGAAGGUUUCUUUUACUACUGCUUGUAAAUAAGGGAGCUUUGAGAUGUCUGACUCUUCAACCAUCUUUUCUUUGCCUACGACUUUGCCGAGCUCACUUCGAGCUUUUGCCAUUAAAUUAGGGUUGUUUAACAAUUCUGCCAUUGCCCACUCUACCGUGCUCGAAGUAGUGUCAGUUCCCGCAGAGAAUAGGUCCUGCCAUGGAGUAAUAUGCUAAUAUCAGAAAGAAUACUACAUAUUAAUUUACGGCAUCACAUCGAUGUAAGCUAUAGCCGCCUUCGGUUUUUCAAAGAUCCACGCCAUCUAUUAUUGUUUUCUAAUAACUUAUCCAAAAAACUAGUCAACAAAUCAACCAUUUUUUAACCAGACCAUUUAAACCCAAUAAGCAAAUUCCACUACGCUAAAAGAAUACACAUAGAUAAUGAAGUGAUGCUGCUCUUUCUAGACUCCUUUUCCCUUCUAGUUUUUUCAACAAAGUAGUUUUCCCAUUUGGAAAAAAACUACCUGUCAUAAUUGGCAGACCAUUUUUCAACUAGAAUGUUUCAACCCACUAAGCAAAUUCCACCACGCUAAAAGAAUAUAUACACAUCAAUUAUGAAGUGAUGAUGUUCUUUCCUAACUCUUUUUCCCUUCUAGUUUUCCAACAAAGGAGUUUCCCCAUUUGGAAAAAACUAUUUGGAGUGCAAAGCAUAUGUUUCUGCAAAGAAAACCUCAAAAUACCUGUAUGGUUGUAGGAUUGUACAGAUCCAAUUCUUGCUCCAAAUGGGUUCUCAGAAAUUUUGGAGGGAGAGAAAAAUGAAAGAUAAAAAAAAAACACUACAGAAAAAUUGACAAAAAUUAAAUUAAAUUAUUCAACAAAGCACUUUUUUUUUGUCACUUUUACAUAAGAAAUUUAGGGAGAAAAACCUUUUAACAUUUUUCCCUUUUUUUAUUUAAUAUUUUUUUCACCUUCUUUUAUAACACCCAAAUAUAUAUUUUUUUUAAAAAGGAGUUAUUUUUUAAAUAUUUUUUCCCUUUACUUUCCAAGAUCAAGCAUUUCCUUAUUUUACCAAUAUACGAGAAGCAGAGUAAAUGUAACAUUUCUAUGCAUUAGCAAAGCACUUACCACCGAUAUUCAGGAAACAUGCAGGAUGCUGCUUUAGAAAAAAAAAUGAUUUCAUUUCCAUGGUCAUAUGUAGAGUUGAACUGAAAAGGAGGGUACUAGAACUAAUCAAUAAGAACCUUAAGAUAUGAUACUUACCACAAGCAAAUGUCUGACAUCGUUGCUGCUCAACUCAUGGUCAUGUUGUUUGUCGAGAUUGAGGAGGCCAUCUAGUACAUCGUUGUUUGCCGAAGAAGCUUUUAAUGGCAACCUUUGUUCGAUGAAACCAUCAAAAACCUCGACAAGUUUAUUAAAACAAACCGUCAUCCUUCUCAGUAUUCCUUGUGGAUCAACCAAUCUAAGAACCGGAAAGAAGUCUGCGAGGUUAGGCUUUCCAGCUUCUUCCAUUAUACUCCAUAUAAGAUCCUUGAACUCUUGUGAGAAAUUGGAAUUAUAGUGAGCCAAAUUAACAGAGAAAAUAGUGUUUGAUAACAAAUUAAGGGUGGUUGUAAAGGUUGCUCUCCCAAUAUCGACUGCCCGGCCGCUGCUGCAACUUUCCUGAGCAUGGCCUAGUAGCUGUUGGACAAUGUUUUCCCGCAUGGCUUGGCCGGCUUCGACACGAUGCGAGGAAAACAUCUGCUUGCUGCAAAUCUUCCUGAGGUUGCGCCAAUGAGCCGAUGCUGGUAAAAAUACUAUUGAAAAAUGGUGAUGGUCGGCAACUUGGAUGGCAUUGAGGACUGUCCUGCUGGAAAAGGCUUGGUCAUUUUUGUUUAGCACUUCCUGGGCUGCUUCUGAUGAGGAAACGACUAUGGUGGUGGUGCUUCCUAGCUUGAGAGACAUUAGAGGACCAUAAGUUUUGGAGAGAAUUGUAAGUGAUUGAUGGGGUUUUUCGCCCAGUUUGAGGAGGUUUCCGAUGAUCGGGAAAGGGCGGGGACCUGGCGGAAGCCUGGCCACACCGGAUUUCCUAUUGGUGAAGCCAAUAGUGAGCACUUUAACGCAUGACCAUACAAAGGAAAAUAGAAGGAGAAGUGUGGUGUAAUCCAUUGUUUUUUCUUUAGGUUUUUUUUCCUGUCUUACCUUCUUCCUUUAUAUACCGUAUAGUUUGCAUUUUAAUCUUGUUCUCUUUAUUAUUUUUUAAGCUAAUUAUAUUACCUAUCGAAAAAAAUGUAUCAUCAAUUAGAAGAUGACGCGUAUAUACUUUUAGAUUUCACUAUUUCUACCCUAAUUUCAUUGUUAAUUUAUAUUCUUAUACCUUAAUCUCAUUCUCCUGGGUCUGGCUGGUGGCAAGUGUGUUUACGAAGAAGGCCAGCUCCACUGUUGACCCCUCAUUUUGGCCAAGUAAGAGAGCCUUUCUUUUUAGGCCAGCUGGGGCUGUUAAGGAGCUGUGGAGAGGAUGUUCUCCUGGGUCCGGAGGGGAGAUUCAAGGACCGUUGGGGAGAGGCUUGGAGGAGAAGCAAGAACGGUAAAAAAAACGGAGCAGAGGGAGGAAGGGAGCAUUUUAGACGAUGAGGGAGCCAUUUUUUUUUAAGCGGGGUGAGCAGGCUGCGAGGGCGUUUUUUGAGAGGAGAAGAAAACGAGCUUGGGAAAGGAAAACAGAGAGUGAACUGGUACCUGAGAGAGCUGAAACAGAACAAGGAGAACUGAAGAAAGUGAAAAAAAACAGAGUAGAGAGGAUUCCGAGUGGUUCUUUUGGAGAGGCAUUUCCAGGUAUGAUCAUUGGGUCUGUCAUCUUCCUUUAUCCUUUUGAUUUAUCGGAUGCUAUUUGCUGCUUGGUGUCUCUAUUGAUCAUUGAGCAUUGUUUGUUGCUUGAUGCUUCCGUUGAUUUUUGGAUAUUGUUUGCUGAUUAAUGUUUGAGGAACCAUGUUUAGGCUUUUGUUUAAGCUCAUCCUGAAAUUUUCAGUUUGUUUCUGAGCAUUAAUUUGUGGAUUGGUGUGGACAUCAAGGGCCACUGGUUUGCUUUGCUGGAUCCGAUUGUAUACAUGUAUGCUCUGUUUUGGUUCUAUUUUGGUAUUUUUGAUUUCUCUUGUAAAUAUCUCAUGCUUUGCUCCUUCCCUGAACUUGAUUUAUCAAAAUCAUACUCUUGUUUCCUUUGGAUUCGACCUGCUCCUAGCUCUUUGACGAUCCAUGACAUAGAGCUAAGUUCAUACUCUGUUUUUACGUUUUUAUUCUUCUCUGUUUAUUGCUCUGUUUCUUGUUGAUGGUGGGAUGAUAUCGUCAACGGCCAAGUUGCUGGGAUUGGAGGAGUGUGGUUAUGGGGGGAAAUGAAUUUAAUGGAUUAUUUUUGUGAUUGUACCUGUGCUCCAGUUGAUUGGUUCAAAAAUGUUGGCCACGGGACUGCAUUGGAGUCUUGGUAUUUGGGAUCACUUUGCCAUCUGAGUUCAAUAAGCUAAAGAGUGGCAAUAAACAUCUCAGUUCUGAAGUGCCUUGUCAGAAGCCAAUAAGUUUGGCAAAUAAUGGGUCACGUUUAUGGUUCUCUUAAUGGCAUUCGAAUAAUCAGCAGAAUUGAUGGGGUUCUUUUGGAGCAGAGUUGCAGGUUGAAAGUGGGGAAGAGAAGUUUCGUGAGGGAGAUGGCAUGCAAUGGGUAAGGAAAUUGAAAGAGCCAUAAAUGUAACUGGUCUUAAUGGGAAAAUUGAGGAGUUUAAGCAGAGGAGUCAAGAGCAACUCAAUAAUUGCUCGCUUUAUGGAUAUUUCAUUAGGAAUGCCGUAAAGAAGAGAAGCAAUUCUAUUCUGUAUAUUUUAUCUGGCUUGAGGGAUUACCAUUGGAUCAUUAUUUGCAUGCUACUCUACCGGAAUUGCACCCGAUAUGCCAUUUCAUAAUUCUUAACUUGAGAGACAGCUUGCAGAUUCUUCAUCUUCUUCUGAACAGAACUUGCAAUCAGUCAGAACCUUGAAAUUGCUUUGAGGGCCAUGAUACCAGAACCUCAUCCCAUGCUUUCUGCCACCUCUUAAACCUCGGGACCCCACUUUCGCAUGGUCCGCAUGGCCAUCUUCCAGCAGUUUUAGGACGUCCAAGGUUGGCAAGCUGUUGGAAUAUGAUUUUUAAAGAGAGCAAGUGGCACUCACCAAGCAGCGCCAUGUAGAUGUUCCAGGCGAAAUAAGUCUAAAACCCAAUUCAGCCAGUCAUUUCGACCUGAGAAUAGCAGAGGGAAUUGACAAACGGGCACGUCCAUAGUAUAGGUCCAAUUGGGCACCCGCCCGAGCUUAGUGAAAGGACUUUUUGACUCAGCUGGAAAUGGGAUUUAUCCUAUUUGUGAAUUUCAGUCCCCUGGAUGGAGAGCUUGCCCAAAUCACAGACCUAGAGAUGAGGUCAUGCUUGGUGGGGUGCACGAAUGAAGAUUACCCUUGUUGCAGCCUAUGGUAUCAUAUCUGCAUGAAGACUCUAGUCCUCGUGUUAUGCAUUGGGAUUUCAAGUCCAGCAGCAUCUCGUUAGAAGACGACUUUACCACUAAAGUUCUGAUUUUGGAUUGGCUAGAAUAGCACUUGAUGAGAGGAACAAACAUAUCCCAACAUGCGUGAGUGGAAUUUUUGGCUACUCAGCUCCAGAAUCCACAUGCAUGGCCACCUUGGUGUACAUGUGCCUUGUUUUUGCUUGUUCCCAGCCUUGGCACCCUCAGUACCUGGCAGUCUCCACUCAACCAGAAGAAGGCAUCUCUGAUUCCUCUCUCCUAACCAUUCGAAAUCCUUCUUUCAGCAAAUCCAAGCCCCAAGCCGAACAACCCCGUGUCUAAAACCUUAGGACCAUGCUCACCAAUCGCUUUUCAUGUUCUCAUCUUACAUGCCUACUGGGUUUAGUGACAAGUCCAUAUCUACAACUGUGUGUAUAAGGAGACUGACAACAGUUCUUUUGAGAGAAUGUGUUCUCUAUAAUAAGUCCAGUGGAAACGGAGUUUGUCGAAACCUUGCUUGCUGUGUGUUCAACACUGAAGAAACCUUUGUAAGAAUUGUUAUGAGCAAUAUGGGACCUGCACCGCUGUCCUUAUGGGUCACUCUUACCUGGUUAAAGGGGUCACUCGCGAUCCUAUUGGCUCCUUCAUUGCAAGCCAAAUAGACGACAAAAUUGUCUUCAUAAUGACAAUGGUGCAUUUGAUUCACAGUUCACAGAAUUUUGCUUUUCUGGAAAGGAGGCUUUUCGGUUUUAUCAUGUCUGGCCAGCUUACGGAGACCGAUGUGUCGAUGUGGAGUUCAUUUGAAAUCUCUAGUUCUGCCACUCUCUCAGUUAAAGAAGACUUUAAAGGGUGGCGCCCAUGGCCGUUUUGGGAGCUGAAACGGACCACAUUUCCCCAUUGACGCUUCUCACACAGCAUACCUGGGCAAAGAUUAUAAGUUGAAUAAAGCAAAUAUAUACUUGGGAAGGCAACCACAUUGACAAUAGCAACAACUUCAACACAAGCAAUCCGGUCUCGAUUACACUCUUGCAUGGCCACCCUUUACAUGCAACCGCGCACCUACAACUGCAAUCAAUCAAGGUCCUUCCCACCCCGGGCCCUCAUUUCUACCUGGUCACCUUUGAUAGGCCAUCCUUGGGACACACGUGCCUCAUCCUUUAUGUCUUCAUGCAUGCCUUCAAAAAUUGAUUUUAAAAAAUCCAGGUAUCAAAUAAUCUUAAUCUGUUAACCUUUUAUUUUAUUUUUAUUUAUUUAUUUAUUUCCUUAGAAAUUUCAAGUUAUUGCUAAAAUCCAAUUUUAAUAAAUUUUGUUGUCACUUCUCUUCUCGGCAAGCAUCUUUUGCAAAUUUCCUUAUUAUUAUUAUUAUUAUUAUGUUUUUCACGUUUUAACAAACAUGAAUAAUUCUAUAAUUUCAAGUAAUGAAAUUUAUGGAGUUAAUUCAUGCUAAAAUAAACUAGGCAUUGGUGGGGCCCAAUAUCUAUGAUUGAAAUUGAUUGAUUUAUGCCCUACUGUGAUAUGCAUGCGCAUUCAUACACUAACUUUUGUUUCUUGUGAAAGUGCAUCAUUACUCAUUGUUAAGGUACACCUCAUACCCCUAUCAUAUUUAUUUAUUUAUCCGUUAUCAUGCAUAAUUUGCUUUUACACUCUUGACCAUUAUUUGGUAUCUAUGAUUAAUUGAUCAAUUGCCACACUUAUUUUAACCAAAUAAUAGAGAUUUAAUUCUUAGGUCUUAGAAGGGUGCUAUGGAUUAUCACCCGUACCUUUCCAAUAGGUAAUAUGACCUUGAGACCUAGAUUCUAUUUUUCACAUAUUUGUUUUUCAUUUAGGAGUCAUAUUUAAGGUUUUUUUUUAAUUUUUUUUUUUUAAAAGUGACGAUUCCAAAAACUUUUGAAAAAACAAUUUUCAAAAUAAAAAAUCAAGUAUCACCAUUUGAGUGGAAAUGCAUGCAAGAAAUGCAGGGUCCACAUCCACCUUAUCUGCAGCAUGUGAAUAGAAGGUUGGUGUUGAACUAUUAACGAGUGAAGUCACUUUUUUUAAAUUAGCUAUCUAAAAUUCUACUUCCUGAUUCUAAUUUCUAGAAAAAGUAUGAGACAAUUGUUAAUAGAAUAUAUAAAAGUACUGUUACAACUCAUAUAUUUGGUUUUCAAAAAAUAUUGAAGAAAAAAUUGUUAUUUUCUAUUUAGAUAAAAGAUAUACUUUACCCACAUUCAAGUUGGAAUAAACUUGCUGGAGUAUGUUUGAUUCCAAUAUAAUUUGAGGAAAAGAAAAUAUAAAAGGAAACUAAAAGAAAAGAGAAAGUGAAAAAAGAAUAAAAAGAUUCGGACUCGAUCAAUAGAUUACUUUAAAUUUAUUUAUUUAUUUUAUUUUUAAAUAUAAAUAUAAAAUAAUUUGAAAAUAUAUAAGUUUUUAACUAAUUUUUUUAAAUUUGAUUUUCUUUUAUAUAUUUCUUGAAAUAAUCAAAUAUAAGAAAAUUAUUUUGUUUAACUUUUUUUUUCACUCUUUAUAUUUUCUACUAACCAAACAUAAGUUUAUAGAUUUAUAAAUGUAAACUCAAUUAACAAUUAUUAGAUCAUCCACCGAAUGCACCAAUAAUUAACAAUCCAUUAAUUAAAAGGAAAAAGAAGAAAUACAAUAAUAAAACCUUUUUUUUAAAAAAAAAAACUCUCACACUUGCAGUCUCACCAUAAAACAUAAAAUGAUUAAAAAAAUAAUAACAGGUACAAACUCCUUAUCCAUCACGUAAAAUUAUAAUGUUUUUAUUUAUUUUCUAUUCAUGGGUAUAGGUGAUUUGGUUAACAAUGAAAUCAUUUCUCGUAUUUUGUUGCAUUACAAUUUGUCCCUAAAUUUUUAUUUAUUAUUUAUUUUCUCCAUCCUACCUCAAGUGAAACAAUACAAAAUAGUACUCAAAAGUUAUACCAACAUGAUACAUUGACAGUGAAGCAAACAUUAUUUUUCUUUAUUAAUCACUGCAUUAUUUCAGCAACUUAAUAAAUACAUAUGCUUUUCCUCAUAAUCUAAUAAUCAAUAUGAUAUUUUUAAAAAUAUAUACUCACCCAAGUUAAUUGGUUCUUAGAUAAAGACAAAUACUAUGGCUUGAUGGGAACAGCCUGGAGAGGUUGGGCUUUCCUCAAUGUCAAUCCAAACUUCUCAGUCAUGUCCAUAUCUUCUGGUUUCAGACCAUCUUGAAGCUUCCAAUCAAAGGAGUGAAGAAGAGAAGCCAACAUCAAGUGGACCAUCCUAUGGCCUAAUAGCAAUCCAGGACAGAUUCUUCUUCCAGCACCAAAUGGAAUGAGCUGGAAAUCUCGACCCUUGACAUCAAUCUCGCACUCCAAAAACCUUUCAGGCACAAAUGAAUUAGGGUUGGACCAAAAUAGUACUCAAAAGUUAUACCAACAUGAUACAUUGACAGUGAAGCAAAUAUCAUUUUUCUUUAUUAAUAACUGCAUUAUUUCAGGAACUUAAAUACAUAUACUUUUUUCAUAAUCUAAUAAUCAAUAUGAUAUUUUUAAAAAUAUAUACUCACCCAAGUUAAUUGGUUCUUAGAUAAAGACAAAUACUAUGGCUUGAUGGGAACAGCCUGGAGAGGUUGGGCUUUCCUCAAUGUAAAUCCAAACUUCUCAGUCAUGUCCAUGUCUUCUGGUUUCAGACCAUCUUCAAGCUUCCAAUCAAAGGAGUGAAGAAGAGAAGCCAACAUCAAGUGGACCAUCCUAUGGCCUAAUAGCAACCCAGGACAGAUUCUUCUUCCAGCACCAAAUGGAAUGAGCCGGAAAUCUCGACCCUUGACAUCAAUCUCGCACUCCAAAAACCUUUCAGGCACAAAUGAAUUAGGGUUGGACCAUAUCGUGAAGUCUCUGCCAAUAGCCCAUACAUUGACAAGUACAUGAGCAUUUUUUGGCACUGCAUAGCCUAAUAUUUCUGACUUCAUUUCGGUCUUUCUAGGAACCAGAAAUGGGACAGGUGGGUGCAACCUGAAGGUUUCUUUUACUACUGCUUGUAAAUAAGGGAGCUUUGAGAUGUCUGACUCUUCAACCAUCUUUUCUUUGCCUACGACUUUGCCGAGCUCACUUCGAGCUUUUGCCAUUAAAUUAGGGUUGUUUAACAAUUCU